GGACAAGAAGUAGCAGUGAAGCGACUUUCAGAAACAUCAGAGCAAGGACUUCACGAGUUCAAGAAUGAAGUUAAGUGCAUUGCAAAACUUCAGCAUCGGAAUCUUGUAAAGCUUCUAGGAUGCUGCAUCCAAGGAGAAGAAAAGAUGUUGGUGUAUGAGUACUUGCCAAACAAAAGCCUGGAAUUAUAUAUAUUUGAUGAAGAAAGGAGAGCAUUACUUGAUUGGCCUAAGCGCUUCAAUAUUAUCAAUGGAAUUGCUCGAGGACUGAUGUAUCUUCAUCAAGAUUCUAGGCUCAGAAUCAUCCACAGAGACUUGAAAGCUAG
rnacentral:misc_RNA from 1 species